CCACUAAGCACAAUACCAUUGCUCUCUUCUUCUGACCAAGCUCGUAGAUCAGCAUGGGUAGGAUGGAGGAGAUCAUCAUGGAGAGGGCCCGCAGGAAUAAUAGGAGGAUGAAAGCUCUUCAAAAUGUAAUAGACAACCAAAAGAAGGAGCUUGAUGCUGCCAUUGCAGAAAAGGAGAAGGAAAGCUUGAAACAUGCUGCCAUAGACACUGGAAACCUGGAGGUUUUGACUUUUCACCAUUGGUUUUGUGAAACAGUUGGUUUUGUUCGAAAAACUAAAGAACAUAGAGAUUGAAAGCGUUGCACACAAAGGACAUUAACGAGGCAGCUAUGUUUUUGUUCUUUUGUCUCUAUAAAACCUAUCUAUCUAUUUUAAAACAACUCUGUCUGGU